AUUGAACGCUGGCGGCAUGCCUUACACAUGCAAGUCGAACGGCAGCACGGGAGCAAUCCUGGUGGCGAGUGGCGAACGGGUGAGUAAAGUAUCGGAACGUGCCCAGUCGUGGGGGAUAACGUAGCGAAAGUUACGCUAAUACCGCAUACGAUCUAUGGAUGAAAGCGGGGGAUGGCAAGACCUCGCGCGAGUGGAGCGGCCGAUAUCAGAUUAGGUAGUUGGUGGGGUAAAGGCUCACCAAGCCGACGAUCUGUAGCUGGUCUGAGAGGACGACCAGCCACACUGGGACUGAGACACGGCCCAGACUCCUACGGGAGGCAGCAGUGGGGAAUUUUGGACAAUGGGCGAAAGCCUGAUCCAGCCAUGCCGCGUGCAGGAUGAAGGCCUUCGGGUUGUAAACUGCUUUUGUACGGAACGAAAAGGUUUGGCCUAAUAAGCUGAGCUCAUGACGGUACCGUAAGAAUAAGCACCGGCUAACUACGUGCCAGCCGCCGCGGUAA
rnacentral:rRNA from 1 species